GUGAGUCAUCGAAUCUUUGAACGCACCUUGCGCCCCUUGGCUAUUCUGAGGGGCAUGCCUGUUUGAGUAUCAUGAACACCUCAACUCUCAUGGUUCGCCGUGAUGAGCUUGGACUCUGGGGGUUUUGCUGGCCUGCGGUCGGCUCCCCUCAAAUAAAUCAGCCUCCCAGUGUUUGGUGGCAUCACGGGUGUGAUAAAUAUCUACGCUCGCAGUUGUCCGCCAGGUAACCUUUGGUGACAAAGGUUCGCUGGAGCUCACAGAUGUCUCUCCUCAGCGAGGACAGCUUUUUGAACGUUCGAUCUCAAAUCAGGUAGGACUACCCGCUGAACUUAA
rnacentral:rRNA from 1 species